rnacentral:rRNA from 1 species
AUUGAACGCUGGCGGCAUGCCUUACACAUGCAAGUCGAACGGCAGCGCGGGCUUCGGCCUGGCGGCGAGUGGCGAACGGGUGAGUAAUACAUCGGAACGUGCCCUAGAGUGGGGGAUAACUAGUCGAAAGAUUAGCUAAUACCGCAUACGAUCUCAGGAUGAAAGUGGGGGACCGCAAGGCCUCAUGCUCCUGGAGCGGCCGAUGUCUGAUUAGCUUGUUGGUGGGGUAACGGCCCACCAAGGCGACGAUCAGUAGCUGGUCUGAGAGGACGACCAGCCAGACUGGGACUGAGACACGGCCCAGACUCCUACGGGAGGCAGCAGUGGGGAAUUUUGGACAAUGGGGGAAACCCUGAUCCAGCAAUGCCGCGUGUGUGAAGAAGGCCUUCGGGUUGUAAAGCACUGUUGUCAGGAACGAAACGGUGGGGGCUAAUACCUUCUGCUAAUGACGGUACCUGAAGAAUAAGCACCGGCUAACUACGUGCCAGCCGCCGCCGUAA